rnacentral:misc_RNA from 1 species
GAUGAAGAACGUAGCAAAAUGCGAUAAGUAAUGUGAAUUGCAGAAUUCAGUGAAUCAUCGAAUCUUUGAACGCACAUUGCGCCCGCCAGUAUUCUGGCGGGCAUGCCUGUUCGAGCGUCAUUUCAACCCUCAAGCGCAGCUUGGUGUUGGGACUCGCGUUAAUUCGCGUUCCUCAAAUUGAUUGGCGGUCACGUCGAGCUUCCAUAGCGUAGUAGUAAAACCCUCGUUACUGGUAAUCGUCGCGGCCACGCCGUUAAACCCCAACUUCUGAAUGUUGACCUCGGAUCAGGUAGGAAUACCCGCUGAACUUAAGCAUAUCAAUAAGCGGAGGA